CGAAGAUAGUGAUAUGGAGCAAAACCCUAAAAACGACAACCUACAGUUCGGAUUGAAGGCUGAAAUUCGCCUUCAUGAAGCUGGAAUUGCUAGUAAUGGCAGGUCAGCAUACUGCCGUGAAUACGUUCCCGGGGCCUUGUACACACCGCCCGUCACACCAUGAGAGUUGGGAAUACCCGAAGCCUGUGAGCUAACUUAUAGAGGCAGCAGUCGAAGGUAGAGCCAAUGAUUGGGGGUGAAGUCGUAACAAGGUACC
rnacentral:rRNA from 1 species